UACGAAGGGGGCUAGCGUUGCUCGGAAUUACUGGGCGUAAAGCGCACGUAGGCGGCUUUCUAAGUCGGGGGUGAAAUCCCGAGGCUCAACCUCGGAACUGCCUUUGAUACUGGGGAUCUCGAGUCCGGGAGAGGUGAGUGGAACUGCGAGUGUAGAGGUGAAAUUCGUAGAUAUUCGCAAGAACACCAGUGGCGAAGGCGGCUCACUGGCCCGGAACUGACGCUGAGGUGCGAAAGCGUGGGGAGCAAACAGG
rnacentral:rRNA from 1 species